rnacentral:rRNA from 1 species
CCUACGGGAGGCUGCAGUGGGGAAUAUUGGACAAUGGGCGAAAGCCUGAUCCAGCCAUGCCGCGUGUGUGAAGAAGGCCUUCGGGUUGUAAAGCACUUUCAGUGGGGAAGAAAGCCUUGGGGCUAAUACCCUCGAGGAAGGACAUCACCCACAGAAGAAGCACCGGCUAACUCCGUGCCAGCAGCGCGGUAAUACGGAGGGUGCGAGCGUUAAUCGGAAUUACUGGGCGUAAAGCGCGCGUAGGCGGUCUGAUAAGCCGGUUGUGAAAGCCCCGGGCUCAACCUGGGAACGGCAUCCGGAACUGUCAGGCUAGAGUGCAGGAGAGGAAGGUAGAAUUCCCGGUGUAGCGGUGAAAUGCGUAGAGAUCGGGAGGAAUACCAGUGGCGAAGGCGGCCUUCUGGACUGACACUGACGCUGAGGUGCGAAAGCGUGGGUAGCAAACAGGAUUAGAUACCCCAGUAGUC